GAUGAACGCUAGCGGCAGGCCUAAUACAUGCAAGACGAACGGUAAGCUUUGUAGCAAUACGGAGCCUAGAGUGUCGUAAGGGUGCGUAACACGUAUGCAAUCUACCCUGUACAGGAGUAUAGCUCCCCGAAAGGGGAAUUAACCCUCCAUAACAUGAUGAGUCGGCAUCGACUUAUUAUUAAAACUGAGGUGGUACAGGAUGAGCAUGCGUCUGAUUAGCUAGUUGGUAGUGUAAUGGACUACCAAGGCAAUGAUCAGUAGGGGACCUGAGAGGUGGACCCCCCACACUGGCACGGAGAUACGGGCCAGACGCCUACGGGAGGCAGCAGUAGGGAAUAUUGGACAAUGGGUGAGAGCCUGAUCCAGCCAUGCCGCGUGCAGGAAGAAGGCCUUCUGGGUUGUAAACUGCUUUUAUCUGGGGAUAAAAAGGCCUUGCGAGGCAAACUGAAGGUACCAGAUGAAUAAACCACGGCUAACUACGUGCCAGCAGCCGCAGUAAAAC
rnacentral:rRNA from 1 species